UCCGAUAAGGGGCUUUUUAGUUUU
rnacentral:tRNA from 1 species